GUGACAUUAGUGAGCCCCUGCUGUACCCGGGUCCGGAGCCGGGCCACCUCCCUGCCCAGCUGCCUUGGGGCAUCAGAUGGGCCGACAGCCAGAGAUUAAUUCGACUGAUCGAGUUAUAAAGAGCGGAAGGCCUGGGUAAUCAAUCUUGCAGCUGUCAGGCCGACAGGCAGGAGUAUUAACCUGGCGAGACGGCACAUACCGAGGACCUCUUCAUUUCAUUCACCCCAACCGCAUCCCUGACCACCUCUGGCCCGUCUCUCCAAAUAAUAAUAAUUGUGGCUGUUAACGAUGACAGAGACAGGAUGCCACGGUCUUCUCUCCCGCCGCUCCCAUCGCCGCUCAGUCUGACCAGAAGGCAGAGCAAGGAACAGCUGGUGGCCCUCUUUGACAGCCCUGGUCCCCCAGAAGCUCCAGGCCUGAUUUGGUGUCCAAUGGGCCUGAGGGGGCAGAAUCAGGCCCAGGAAGAUGGAUUUCCCUGUCCCCUCGGCCCCCGCCCAGCAGGGAAGGGAGAAGACUGCUUCAUUAUGUUUAAUGGGAUUACUGGGGGGGACAGUAGUCAUGGGGCAUUAGCUGCUAAUUGGGUCCAUAAUAAAGUUA
rnacentral:lncRNA from 1 species